AAUACGGAGACAGGCGAAAGGGCCUGGACCCUUCCCGCAGUCAGAGGGCAGCCACGCACGGAGGCGGAGGUCCAGCCUCGGCGGCAGGGCUGUCGCGCACGCCGGCGUCCCCACCGCCGCUCCCCAAACGUGCCACCACCACGACCUGGCGGAGGCGCCCGAACAACAACAACGACAGAAAGGCCGGGCUGCCCCCCGGUCCCCGAGCGACAUGAGCGAAAGUUGCCGAAAACCCAUUCUGUGAAAGGCCGUAUCUUGGUGACGCCUGCCCGCUCCGCGACCAGCGACAGCCCGCCCCGGCCCGCAGGGGCUCGGGUGGAAGUUGGGCCCCGGCCCGUUUGUCUGUAGGUCGUCAGCAUCUUUCCCUCCCUGGCCUUGACCUGCCUUGGCCAGCUCAGUGACAUCCUUAUCCUCGGAAGCAGGCGCGUCACACACCUGCAACCUGAAGCCCAGACCUUGACCGGCCCGAACGGAGACGGUGGUCACGGAGGCAGAGGCGGACAGUGAACCUAGCGAGCGGCGCACAGUCCUGCACAAGGAAGUGAGACGGAACCAAACACGGUCCCUCCCCAAGCCCGCGGCGACGGUCACCAGGCCCCGGCUCCGUCUGGAAUUUGACGUGGGUGCGUGGUUUUCACCUGACUUGCCCUUGGCCGUCUCCAAAGUGCCGGCGAAGCCCUGGGGCCCGGCGCGUCCGGGGUCC
rnacentral:lncRNA from 1 species